CCUACGGGUGGCAGCAGUGGGGGAUAUUGCACAAUGGGGGGAACCCUGAUGCAGCGACGCCGCGUGGGUGAAGAAGCGCCUCGGUGCGUAAAGCCCUGUCAGCACGGAAGAAAAUGACGGUACCUGAAGAAGAAGCACCGGCUAACUACGUGCCAGCAGCCGCGGUAAUACGUAGGGGGCAAGCGUUAUCCGGAGUUACUGGGUGGAAAGGGGGCGCAGACGGCGAUGCAAGCCAGGAGUGAAACGCCUGGGCCCAACCCCGGGAAUGCUCUUGGAACUGCGGGGCUGGAGUGCAGGAGGGGCAGGCGGAAUUCCUGGUGUAGCGGUGAAAUGCGUAGAUAUCAGGAGGAACGCCGGUGGCGAAGGCGGCCUGCUGGACUACAACUGACGUUGAGGCCCGAAAGCGUGGGGAGCAAACAGGAUUAGAUACCCUUGUAGUC
rnacentral:rRNA from 1 species